rnacentral:rRNA from 1 species
GAAAUCAGUUCAGCACUAAGUCACUUUGUCUAUAUGGCAAAUGUGAGAUGCAGUGUAUGGAACGUCAAUAUUCUAGUAUGAGAAAUUAACGAUUUAAGUCCUUCUUAAAUGAGGCCAUUUACCCAUAGAGGGUGCCAGGCCCGUAUAACGUUAAUGAUUAUUAGAUGAUGUUUCCGAAGAGUCGUGUUGCUUGAUAGUGCAGCACUAAGUGGGUGGUAAACUCCAUCUAAAACUAAAUAUAACCAUGAGACCGAUAGUAAACAAGUACCGUGAGGGAAAGUUGAAAAGAACUCUGAAUAGAGAGUUAAAUAGUACGUGAAACUGCUUAGAGGUUAAGCCCGAUGAACCUGAAUAUCCGUUAUGGAAAAUUCAUCAUUAAAAUUGUAAUAUCUAAUCAAUAUUAUAAUGAUAGUGUGCAUUUUUUCCAUAUAAGGACAUUGUAAUCUAUUAGCAUGACUGGAAUUUAUCAAACAAUUUUGAUAAGAGUUUAUUUAAAUUAGAGUGCUUGCAUUUUAACAUAAAAUAAAUUUCAAAAUUUUGAUAAAGUGCUGAUAGAUUUAUAUGAGUACAGUGCGUUAAUUCUUCGGAAUUAUAUAAUGGCAUGAUUAUCAUUGAUUUUUGUGUUUAUUAUAAGCAUUUGUAUGAUUAACAAUGCGAAAGA